rnacentral:rRNA from 1 species
CGAAAGGCGGGCUAAACCCGCGUACAUGCCACCGGGGCAUCCCGGAGGCAGGAAAGGCUUCGGCCGGACAGGGAUGGGCAUGCGGCGCAUUAGGCAGUAGGCGGGGUAACGGCCCACCUAACCGACGAUGCGUAGGGGUUCUGAGAGGAAGGUCCCCCACACUGGUACUGAGACACGGACCAGACUCCUACGGGAGGCAGCAGUGAGGAAUAUUGGUCAAUGGUCGGGAGACUGAACCAGCCAAGCCGCGUGAGGGAUGAAGGUACAGAGUAUCGUAAACCUCUUUUGUCAGGGAACAAAGGCGGGGACGUGUCCCCGGAUGAGUGUACCUGAAGAAAAAGCAUCGGCUAACUCCGUGCCAGCAGCCGCGGUAAUACGGAGGAUGCGAGCGUUAUCCGGAUUUAUUGGGUUUAAAGGGUGCGCAGGCGGUCUGUUAAGUCAGCGGUCAAAGCCCGGGGCUCAACCCCGGCCCGCCGUUGAAACUGGCAGUCUCGAGUUGGAGAGAAGUAUGCGGAAUGCGCGGUGUAGCGGUGAAAUGCAUAGAUAUCGCGCAGAACUCCGAUUGCGAAGGCAGCAUGCCGGCUCCACACUGACGCUGAGGCACGAAAGCGUGGGUAUCGAACAGGAUUAGAUACCCUGGUAGUCCACGCAGUAAACGAU